UGGUUUCAGUGGAAAUCCAGAGCUGCUGGACAUUUAAGAGCUAAACGUGACGUGUUAUUGUAUUCGAACUAUUUAAUCGAACUUUGUAUUAUUUGAUCUUAACUGAAUUUACGCUAUUAAAUUUAGGGUUAAGAUGCAUCUGAACCAGAUCUGAGGGUCAACCUUCCCGAUAGAUGGUUUUCAAUAAAUGGCGCUGUAGACAUCUGAAUGACGAGACCAGUUGUUCACUGCAGUGUUUCCGGGAGAUUAACCUGCUGAGAAGAUGACUACAAACAUACAACAUGGCGCUGUAGAGAUCUGAAUGACGAGAACCAGUUCUUCACUGCUGUGUUUCCGGGAGAUUAACCUGCUGAGAAGAUGACUACAAACAUACAACGUGAUCUUAUACACUGUAAAAAUGCAAAGCUUAAAAUGUUUAAAUAUGUUAUCGAUUUGGUAAAAUAAUACUUCCCCAGUCUUUUGUUUGUUUAUUUAAAAUAAAUUCCCCUGCUGGCGGAAACAGGCA